CAACCUCCCUGUGCCUCAAUUUCUUCCUGGUC
rnacentral:piRNA from 1 species